rnacentral:lncRNA from 1 species
AAGUAGACAAUUUCUUCAUCUCAGUUAUUUGAGGACAGGUAUUUCAUUUUAGCCUUUCAAAAGUGAAGAGCAGUAUUUUAAUCUAUUUUGCUGUGUUAAGUUCUGUUCCAGUUGAAGAGCAAGAAGAGUUCAAGCAGCUUUCAGAUGGAAUUCAGGAGCUACAACAAUCACUAAAUCAGGAUUUUCAUCAAAAAACGAUAGUGCUGCAAGAGGGAAAUUCCCAAAAGAAGUCAAAUAUUUCAGAGAAAACCAAGCGUUUGAAUGAACUAAAAUUGUCGGUGGUUUCUUUGAAAGAAAUACAAGAGAGUUUGAAAACAAAAAUUGUGGAUUCUCCAGAGAAGUUAAAGAAUU